rnacentral:rRNA from 1 species
UACGUAGGGUGCAAGCGUUAAUCGGAAUUACUGGGCGUAAAGCGUGCGCAGGCGGUUGUGCAAGACAGAUGUGAAAUCCCCGGGCUCAACCUGGGAAUUGCAUUUGUGACUGCACGGCUAGAGUGUGUCAGAGGGGGGUAGAAUUCCACGUGUAGCAGUGAAAUGCGUAGAGAUGUGGAGGAAUACCGAUGGCGAAGGCAGCCCCCUGGGAUAAUAUUGACGCUCAUGCACGAAAGCGUGGGGAGCAAACAGG